CAACUUUUGUAAUUUUAAAAAGUGACGUUGCGUCUUGUAAAGGGGCAUUUUUCUGGAUCAGACCGGUCUUCAGCAAAUCACAUUUUGGGUAUACAAUGACGGAUUUAAUCGGGAAAAAGACCCAAUUGUGAUGUUUAUGUGACAUAUAGGAGUGCCAAGAAAGAAGCUCGUCAAAGACUUCACCCUCCCUACACCUCUGAUGAAUAUAACAGGAAACCUGUUCGAUCACCAUGUACUGCAAAAUCAUUCUGGCUAUGGAUACGGAGAACAUCAACACAUUAACAUCAAUACGCCAGAGGAUAUAUCAAUUGGACUUGGGGCUCUGCUGGGAGUUUACUUCAUAUUUAGAUUUUUUUUAUUCUGCUUUGCCACUAAAUCAUAAACAC
ensembl:lncRNA